rnacentral:rRNA from 1 species
CCUACGGGAGGCAGCAGUGGGGAAUUUUGGACAAUGGGCGAAAGCCUGAUCCAGCAAUGCCGCGUGAGUGAAGAAGGCCUUCGGGUUGUAAAGCUCUUUUGUCAGGGAAGAAACGGUGAGAGCUAAUAUCUCUUGCUAAUGACGGUACCUGAAGAAUAAGCACCGGCUAACUACGUGCCAGCAGCCGCGGUAAUACGUAGGGUGCAAGCGUUAAUCGGAAUUACUGGGCGUAAAGCGUGCGCAGGCGGUUUUGUAAGUCUGAUGUGAAAUCCCCGGGCUCAACCUGGGAAUUGCAUUGGAGACUGCAAGGCUAGAAUCUGGCAGAGGGGGGUAGAAUUCCACGUGUAGCAGUGAAAUGCGUAGAUAUGUGGAGGAACACCGAUGGCGAAGGCAGCCCCCUGGGUCAAGAUUGACGCUCAUGCACGAAAGCGUGGGGAGCAAACAGGAUUAGAUACCCUGGUAGUCCACGCCCUAAACGAUGUCUACUAGUUGUCGGGUCUUAAUUGACUUGGUAACGCAGCUAACGCGUGAAGUAGACCGCCUGGGGAGUACGGUCGCAAGAUUAAAACUCAAAUGAAAUUGACCGGNUAGAGAGNGCGAGGACGACGACGAGGGAGGAGG